GUUUCUAUAGUGUUAAUUAUGCACAUUAGAUUUUCAUUCUAAAGGUAUAAAAUCAUUUUAUUAGAAAUAU
rnacentral:tRNA from 1 species